UGCUCCAGAAUAGCUCUUGGAAACGGGUGGUAAUGCUGGAUGCUCCAACUUGACGCAUGUCUUGUUGGGAAAGUGUUUAGUGGCAUGGGAUGGGGUCGCGUCCUAUCAGCUUGUAGGCGGGGUAAUGGCCCACCUAGGCUUCGACGGGUAGCCGGCCUGAGAGGGCGGACGGCCACAUUGGGACUGAGACACGGUCCAGACUCCUACGGGAGGCAGCAGUG
rnacentral:rRNA from 1 species